UGUCCUAAUAGUAUAAAAAUUACGUUGGUCUUGUAAACCAAAAAUGAAGAUUAAAUCUUCUUAGGACA
rnacentral:tRNA from 1 species